rnacentral:snRNA from 1 species
ACAGCUUUCUAGUGGGAAGACGUCUUUGCUCCUGACAUUGCACGCGGGCCGCGCUGACCCCCGCGAUUUCCCCGACGCGGGAAACUCGACCGCGCAAUUUGUGGUAGUGGGGCCUGCGCUCGCGCUCGCCCCUG